rnacentral:rRNA from 1 species
UACGUAGGGGGCUAGCGUUGUCCGGAUUUAUUGGGCGUAAAGAGCUCGUAGGCGGCUUGUCGCGUCGGAUGUGAAAGCCCGGGGCUUAACUCCGGGUCUGCAUUCGAUACGGGCAGGCUAGAGUUCGGUAGGGGAGAUCGGAAUUCCUGGUGUAGCGGUGGAAAUGACGCAGAUAUCAGGAGGAACACCGGUGGCGAAGGCGGAUCUCUGGGCCGAUACUGACGCUGAGGAGCGAAAGCGUGGGGAGCGAACAGG